rnacentral:lncRNA from 1 species
CCUUUACAGCUUUGAGAUAUCUAUCUAUCUAUCUACUUGUUGUUACUUGUGCCCACUUGGACCUAGUAGGGAGAUCGGCGGAGUCGGCGGCCGAGCCCACUGAAAACUAUGGAAGAUAGUUCUCACCCCACUCUAUUUUCAGUGGUAGGUACAGGUUUACCGAGCGAGGACCGCGGCAAGGGCAUCGCGCCCGAUCAGUGAGACCGUGGUAGUAUAGUAGCUUUCCUUUUUGCAUUAGCACACCUAUGUAUUGAGAGAGAUUCAUGUAGGUGAGGUUGGAGAGCUAUGUAUUUUGAUGAAGAAAUGUAUUCAUUUUGAGGAAAAAGAUGUAAAUGUAAAGAAAGCAAAACUAUUAUAAUAGUUAGUAAAGUACUCUCUUUAUU